rnacentral:ncRNA from 1 species
AAAAAAAGAAGACAAAAGUCUGCCUGCUGGGACCCGAAAGAUGGUGAACUAUGCCUGAGCAGGGCGAAGCCAGAGGAAACUCUGGUGGAGGCUCGUAGAUGUGCUGACGUGCAAAUCGCUUUUCGGACUUUGGUAUAGGGGCGAAAGACUAAUCGAACCAUCUAGUAGCUGGUUCCCUCCGAAGUUUCCCCCAGGAUAGCUGUUGUGUGUGUGUGGUAGUUGCGUCUGGUAAAGCGAAUGAUUAGAGGUUUUUUGAUAUCGGGGAGGCUGGUCCUCCUCGGCCUAUUCUCAAACUUUAAAUGGGCGCACAUUGGUUGUUUUUUCGUUUUAAACUUCCAAUAUGAAUACAAAUCGCAACAAGUGGGCCAUUUUUGGUAAGCAGAACUGGCGAUGCGGGAUGAACCGAAAGCCGAGCCAAGACGCCCAAGUAGACGCUCACCUAGAUCCCACAAAGGGUGUUGCUCGAUACAGACAGCAGGACGGUGGACAUGGAAGUCGUCACCCGCUAAGGAGUGUGUAACAACUCCCCUGCCGAAUCGAUCAGCCCCGAAAAUGGAUGGCGCUCAAGCGUUUUGUAUGUUGUCUAUGCUCGGCUGUUUUU